CUCUACUAGUCAUUUUGCCUGGGCAUUUCAUUCAGUAGCAGAAGAAGAACUACUGAACAUGUUGCCAGCGAUGCAAAAAGACGAUCCCACGUGGUCUGAACUUAGAGCUAUGGGUGUGGGGUGGUGGGUCCGGAAUACCCGCAUCUUACGCAAGUGCAUAGAAAAGGUAGCCAAAGCAGCCUUUUAUAAAAAGAAUGAUCCUUUAGAUGCUGCCAUUUUUUACCUAGCAA